GUUUUCUGACCACACUGGGUAUGGAACUUAGGGCCCCACACAUGCUGAGCAAGUGCUCCACUAGCCCCUUAAUCGACUUCUGAGACAGGUUCAAUGAGGCAGAAGACUCGUUCUUCAUGACAUAUGUGUGUAUGUGUGUGUGUAUAUAUGUGUAUAUUUGUCUGUAUGUAUAUGUGUGUAUACACAUGUGUGUAUGUGUGUAUAUAUGUGUAUAUUUGUCUGUAUGUAUAUGUGUGUAUACAUGUGUAUAUGUGUGUAUAUAUGUGUGUGUUAUGUAUGUAUGUAUACAUGUGUAUAUGUGUGUAUAUAUGUGUGUUUGUAUGUGUAUAUACAUGUGUAUAUAUAUGUGUGUGUGUAUAUAUACAUAUAUGUAUAUAUGUGUGUAUAUAUUGUGUUAUAUGUGUGUAUAUAUUGUGUAUGUGUGUAUGUAUAUGUGAGUAUGUAUGUGUAUGUGUAUGUAUAUAUU
rnacentral:lncRNA from 1 species